UACGUAGGGUGCAAGCGUUGUCCGGAUUUAUUGGGCGUAAAGGGUGCGCAGGCGGUUGGGUGUGUCAGAUGUGAAAUCCCGAGGCUCAACCUCGGAACUGCGUCUGAAACUACUCGACUAGAGUACUGGAGAGGGUAACGGAAUUCACGGUGUAGCAGUGAAAUGCGUAGAUAUCGUGAGGAACACCAGAGGCGAAGGCGGUUACCUGGACAGUUACUGACGCUCAGGCACGAAAGCAUGGGGAGCAAAAGGG
rnacentral:rRNA from 1 species